rnacentral:rRNA from 1 species
CGGGUGAGUAACACGUGGGUAACCUGCCCAUAAGAGGGGGGAUAACAUCCGGAAAUGGGUGCUAAUACCGCAUAGUUUCUUGAUCGCAUGAUCGGGAAGGAAAGACGGCCUUUGUGCUGUCGCUUAUGGAUGGACCCGCGGCGUAUUAGUUAGUUGGUGAGGUAACGGCUCACCAAGACGAUGAUACGUAGCCGACCUGAGAGGGUGAUCGGCCACAUUGGGACUGAGGCACGGCCCAAACGUCCUACGGGAGGCAGCAGUAGGGAAUCUUCCGCAAUGGACGAAAGGUCUGACGGAGCAACGCCGCGUGAGUGAAGAAAAGGGUUUUCGGAUCGUAAAACUCUGUUGUCAGAGAAGAACAAGUUGGAGAGUAACUGCUCCAGCCUUGACGGUAUCUGACCAGAAAGCCACGGCUAACUACGUGCCAGCCGCUGC